GGCCCGCGUACCAUUAGCUAGUUGGUAGGGUAAUGGCCUACCAAGGCGACGAUGGUUAGCGGGUCUGAGAGGAUGAUCCGCCACACUGGAACUGAGACACGGUCCAGACUCCUACGGGAGGCAGCAGUGGGGAAUAUUGCACAAUGGGCGCAAGCCUGAUGCAGCAACGGAUUGUAAAGCUCUGUGAUAUUGGACGAACAAUUUCCCGUAAAUAAUGGGAAGGAAUGACGGUACCUUAGGAGGAAGCCCCGGCUAACUACGUGCCAGCAGCCGCGGUAAUACGUAGGGGGCAAGCGUUAUCCGGAAUCACUGGGCGUAAAGGGUGCGUAGGCGGCUGAUCAAGCCAGGGGUGAAAGGCAAUAGCUUAACUAUUGUGAGCCUUUGGAACUGGUCAGCUUGAGUGCAGGAGAGGAAAGCGGAAUUCCUAGUGUAGCGGUGAAAUGCGUAGAUAUUAGGAGGAACACCCGUGGCGAAGGCGGCUUUCUGGACUGUAACUGACGCUGAGGCACGAAAGCGUGGGGAGCAAACAGGAUUAGAUACCCUGGUAGUCCACGCUGUAAACGAUGAAUACUAGGUGUCGGGGGUCAAAGCCCGGUGCCGCAGCUAACGCAUUAAGUAUUCCGCCUGGGGAGUACGGUCGCAAGACUGAAACUCAAAGGAAUUGACGGGGACCCGCACAAGCAGCGGAGCAUGUGGUUUAAUUCGAAGCAACGCGAAGAACCUUACCAGGUCUUGACAUCCCCUUGACCGGAACUUAAUCGUUCCUUUCCUUCGGGACAAUGGAGACAGGUGGUGCAUGGUUGUCGUCAGCUCGUGUCGUGAGAUGUUGGGUUAAGUCCCGCAACGAGCGCAACCCUUGUCAUUAGUUGCCAGCAGUUCGGCUGGGCACUCUAACGAGACUGCCGAGGAUAACUCGGAGGAAGGUGGGGAUGACGUCAAAUCAUCAUGCCCCUUAUGAUCUGGGCUACACACGUGCUACAAUGGCGAUAACAAAGGGAAGCAAAAGGGUGACCUCUAGCAAACCCCAGAAAAGUCGUCCCAGUUCGGAUUGUAGUCUGCAACUCGACUACAUGAAGUUGGAAUCGCUAGUAAUCGCGAAUCAGAAUGUCGCGGUGAAUACGUUCCCGGGUCUUGUACACGCCGCCCGUCACACCAUGGGAGUUGGAAGCGCCCGAAGCCAGUGACUCAACCGCAAGGAGAGAGCUGUCGAAGGUGAAGCCAAUGACUGGGGUGAAGUCGUAACAAGGUAACC
rnacentral:rRNA from 1 species